rnacentral:rRNA from 1 species
CACGGCGGCCUUAGCGCGGUGGUCCCACCUGACCCCAUGCCGAACUCAGAAGUGAAACGCCGUAGCGCCGAUGGUAGUGUGGGGUCUCCCCAUGCGAGAGUAGGGAACUGCCAGGC